UCUUACGGGAGGCAGCAGUGGGGAAUCUUGGACAAUGGGCGCAAGCCUGAUCCAGCCAUGCCGCGUGAGUGAUGAAGGCCUUAGGGUUGUAAAGCACUCUACCCCUGAAGAUAAUGACGGUACC
rnacentral:rRNA from 1 species